AUGUGCAGGGCAGAUGAUCUGCAAACAUUCAAUGAAUUAGACUGGUGUGCCUUUAAUGUGCAAUGAACUCUACAAGUAAUUACACUGAUUCUGGAUCCCACAUCACAUGCUCCCUGACUUAUGACAUCACAACACGUGCCCAGGAGCCAAAGACUGAGACUCUGUGUCUAGCAGCCUGCACAUCUAUCUUGGAGGAUUUGCUGGGCAUGCACAUAUACAUUGUCCAAACACCAUUCUAAAAUCAAAGCCAUAAAGGAUUGAGUAUAAGACGUGAAUAUGAAAUUAGAAAAUGUGAGGAAAGGUUUCCUGCAGGAAUACAUGCAGGACAGGCUGAGAAGAGACUUGGCUCUGAAGGUGCCAGCCAGGGGAAGGCAGAUCAUCUGAGUUAUUUCUGCAUGAAACAAAGGAUGCACAGAUGCUUAACAGGAGAAAAAAUGAAGAUACGGCUGAGAUCCUGUAUAUCAAAUUCUAUUGUCUUGAAUGCCUACAGAAAAAUCUGCAAUGGGUUCGAGGAGCUUACUCUACUCCUAAGCUGCUACAUGACAGAAGAAAAUCUACAAGGAUUUGCAAUGAAGAAUUACAGAUUUGGCCAAAAAUCAUCCCACACAGACCAUGAACAGAAGGUUCCUCUUGGCACUUCUACAAUCUUGGCCAGAUGUGUGAGUAUCAUCAAGAUCUAAUUUACUGAAAUCUUGGAACUGAGAUUCGGAUCCACAUGGAAUCCUCAAGUCACUUGCAAACUUGCUCAUCGUUUGAACCACUAAAACCAAAUACACCUUUUAUCUUCUUUUAGCUUUUUCAUUUCUUUCACUUGAUAUUAUUUACAGUUCAUCAUUUUCCCACACGAAUGUUUGAGGCCAUAACACAGGCCUCUUUGUGACCUCAAAAUAGAUCCAGAACCGAAAGUUACUAGCAACAAAUGUACUGCCCAACUCAUCUGACAAAGAAGUGGCAUUCUGUUUUCCGUGAGUUCGGAAUUUGAAUUUACUGUAGAAGGUCUGAAGACUAUGACUAUCUUGGGCUCAAAGAGCAGCAGAUUUGCAGAGUGGAAUAAUUGCUGAUGAGGCCCUAAAAUGUAAACAUGGGAGAACAAGGGAGUAUUUCAGACCAGAUCUCCUCAGAUUAAGAAGACUGAGAUCCCAUCAUCAGUUGCACAUCUUACUAUUCUGUUUCUGUUUAAAGGAGUACAGUUCAAAACCUAAGUGGUAAUGGGCAGAUUUGCUUCGGAAAUGCAUUCCUGAUCCAAGCUAAAAAGUUAAUGCAGAUAUACCCAA